GACAGAGGGGGCAAGCGUUGCUCGGAAUCACUGGGCGUAAAGGGCGCGUAGGCGGGAUGGCAAGUCGGUCGUGAAAUCCUUCGGCCCAACCGAAGAACGUCGGCCGAUACUGCCGUUCUUGAGGGAUGCAGAGGAGACUGGAAUUCCCGGUGUAGCGGUGAAAUGUGUAGAGAUCGGGAGGAACACCGGUGGCGAAGGCGGCCAUCUGGACCAGCACUGACGCUGAGGCACGAAAGCGUGGGGAGCAACAGG
rnacentral:rRNA from 1 species